GGCAGCGCGGGGCGGCAACGUCCUGGCGGCGACCGGCGGAAGGGUGCGUAACGCGUGAGCGACAUGCCCGUUGCCCGGGGACAACCGGUGGAAACGCCGACUAAUCCCCGAUGGGACGGAGGCCCUCAUGGGUCUCUGUUGAAAGUUACGGCGGCGACGGAUUGGCUCGCGUCCGAUUAGCUUGUUGGCGGGGUAACGGCCCACCAAGGCUACGAUCGGUAGGGGUUCUGAGAGGAAGGUCCCCCACAAUGGAACUGAGACACGGUCCAUACUCCUACGGGAGGCAGCAGUGAGGAAUAUUGGUCAAUGGGCGGAAGCCUGAACCAGCCAUGCCGCGUGCGGGAAGGAGGCCCUAUGGGCUGUGAACCGCUUUUGCCUGGGGGCAAUAAGGGCGUCGCGCACGUCCGAUGAGAGUACCAGGGGAAUAAGCAUCGGCUAACUCCGUGCCAGCAGCCGCGGUAAUACGGGGGAUGCGAGCGUUAUCCGGAUUCAUUGGGUUUAAAGGGUGCGUAGGCUGUGCGUCAAGUCAGGGGUGAAAUUCCGGGGCUCAACUCCGGGGCUGCCCUUGAUACUGUCGCGCUGGAGUGCGGAUGCCGCCGGAGGAAUGAGUGGUGUAGCGGUGAAAUGCUUAGAUAUCACUCAGAACACCGAUUGCGAAGGCAUCUGGCGAAUCCGUAACUGACGCUGAGGCACGAAAGCGUGGGGAUAGAACAGGAUUAGAUACCCUGGUAUUCCACGCCGUAAACGAUGAUGGCUAACCGCCGGCGACAUACUGUCGGUGGCCAAGCGAAAGCGAUAAGCCAUCCACCUGGGGAGUACGUCGGCAACGAUGCAACUCAAAUGAAUUGACGG
rnacentral:rRNA from 1 species